UACGAAGGGGGCUAGCGUUGCUCGGAAUCACUGGGCGUAAAGGGUGCGUAGGCGGGUCUUUUAAGUCAGGGGUGAAAUCCUGGAGCUCAACUCCAGAACUGCCCUUGAUACUGAGGAUCUUGAGUUCGGGAGAGGUGAGUGGAACUGCGAGUGUAGAGGUGAAAUUCGUAGAUAUUCGCAAGAACACCAGUGGCGAAGGCGGCUCACUGGCCCGAUACUGACGCUGAGGCACGGAAAGCGUGGGGAGCAAACAGG
rnacentral:rRNA from 1 species